AGUGAAUGAGUGUCUUUUAAACCAAGUUUUCCUAGAGAUGGGUGGAGCUAAAAAUCCAGAUUUCGGUAGGAAAACUUGGUUUAAAAGACACUUAUUCACUACAGGACAG